GCCUGGGUGGCUCAGUUGGUUAAGCAUCUGACUUCAGCUCAGGUCAUGAUGUUAUGGUUCGUGGGUUCGAGCCCCAUGUCGGGCU
rnacentral:tRNA from 1 species